CGGUGCCGGGGCCGCGGCGGGGGGAGCGCGGGCUCCGGCGGCCGCACGGAAAAAGCCUGCCUCCCCCUUUGCCCCCUCCUUCUCCCGUCCUCUCCCCCCCGGUGUCACGGCCGGGGAGUGCGGGGGUUUGAGUGUGCGGGUAUGGGGCACCUUUGCUUCUCCUCCUCUGGGCACCGGGGUUUGGUUGGGAGCCCCGGUGUCCGUGGCGCGGGUCCUCGUGGGAGCAGGGAAGUGCAGCUGCCCCAGCAGAUGCUGGAGCCAAGAAGUUCAUGGAUGGCCGGAGAGCGGGAAGGGCCGCAGCGAUGGAGCAGGGAGCGUUGGUAGGACACAGGCUUUGGGGCUGGCUGGCCAUUGUCUGCGAGCCCGAAAUCCGCGCUCCGGGGCAGCGAAAGGCCAGAGGCUCGCGGGGCACCGGGGGAAGAUGGCCAAGGAUGCAGGUUCCCUGCCACAGGUGCACACUGAACAGUCUCCUCUCACACCUUUACAAUGCCAAGUGCCCGUCCAAAAUCACCGCGUCUCCGCCCUGGAGCUGUGAACAAAUGGCUGCCGCCCCUCAGCUGAGGUGUUUUAGCCGAGGAGGGUUCGUUCUGCUCCCGUCACCCUCGCGCCUCGCCGUGUCCGUCCUUUCCCAGGACACUGAGCCAGGGCUUGGAUUGGAUGAGCACGGUUUUGAUACAGCUUGUUUUGCACAGCCACCCGUGCCGGGUCUAAAAAUCCUUGCACGCGGAUCCGUUGGGGAAUUUUCAGCAGCCACAUGUCCCUGAUUUAAAAACUCCUGGACGGGUGUUGACUGGGGAAGACUGCGGGGUUGGAAUGUUUUUAGUCAGGAGCACAUUGGUGUGGAAUAAAAGCCUCCUUGAAGCAUUA